rnacentral:rRNA from 1 species
GAUGAACGCUGGCGGCGUGCUUAACACAUGCAAGUCGAACGGUGAAGGCGGAGCUUGCUCUGCUGGAUCAGUGGCGAACGGGUGAGUAACACGUGAGCAAUCUGCCCCUGACUCUGGGAUAAGCGCUGGAAACGGCGUCUAAUACUGGAUACGAGCUGCGAAGGCAUCUUCAGAAGCUGGAAAGAAUUUCGGUCAGGGAUGAGCUCGCGGCCUAUCAGCUUGUUGGUGAGGUAAUGGCUCACCAAGGCGUCGACGGGUAGCCGGCCUGAGAGGGUGACCGGCCACACUGGGACUGAGACACGGCCCAGACUCCUACGGGAGGCAGCAGUGGGGAAUAUUGCACAAUGGGCGAAAGCCUGAUGCAGCAACGCCGCGUGAGGGACGACGGCCUUCGGGUUGUAAACCUCUUUUAGCAGGGAAGAAGCGAAAGUGACGGUACCUGCAGAAAAAGCGCCGGCUAACUACGUG